rnacentral:rRNA from 1 species
GACGAACGCUGGCGGCGUGCCUAAUACAUGCAAGUAGAACGCUGAAGCGAGGAGCUUGCUCUUCUUGGAUGAGUUGCGAACGGGUGAGUAACGCGUAGGUAACCUGCCUUGUAGCGGGGGAUAACUAUUGGAAACGAUAGCUAAUACCGCAUAACAAUGGAUGACACAUGUCAUUUAUUUGAAAGGGGCAAUUGCUCCACUACAAGAUGGACCUGCGUUGUAUUAGCUAGUAGGUGAGGUAAUGGCUCACCUAGGCGACGAUACAUAGCCGACCUGAGAGGGUGGUCGGCCACACUGGGACGGAGACACGGCCCAGACUCCUACGGGAGGCAGCAGUAGGGAAUCGUCGGCAAUGGGGGCAACCCUGACCGAGCAACGCCGCGUGAGUGAAGAAGGGUUUCGGAUCGUAAAGCUCUGUUGUAAGUCAAGAACGGGUGUGAGAGUGGAAAGUUCACACUGUGACGGUAGCUGACCAGAAAGGGACGGCUAACUACGUG